UACGAAGGGGGCGAGCGUUAUUCGGAAUCACUGGGCGUAAAGGGUGCGUAGGCUGUUCUGCAAGUCAGAAGUGAAAGCCCAGGGCUUAACCCUGGAAUUGCUUUUGAAACUGCAGGACUUGAAUUCGGGAGAGGAUAGCGGAAUUUCCAGUGUAGCAGUGAAAUGCGUAGAUAUUGGAAGGAACACCGGUGGCGUAAGCGGCUAUCUGGACCGACAUUGACGCUGAGGCACGAAAGCGUGGGGAUCAAACAGG
rnacentral:rRNA from 1 species